AUUGAACGCUGGCGGCAUGCUUUACACAUGCAAGUCGAACGGUAACAGGCCUUCGGGUGCUGACGAGUGGCGAACGGGUGAGUAAUGCAUCGGAACGUGCCCAGAGGUGGGGGAUAACGCAGCGAAAGCUGUGCUAAUACCGCAUAUUAUCUGAGGAUGAAAGCGGGGGACUAAGCAGCAAUGUUUGGCCUCGCGCCUUUGGAGCGGCCGAUGUCAGAUUAGGUAGUUGUGGGGUAAAGGCCUACCAAGCCGACGAUCUGUAGCUGGUCUGAGAGGACGACCAGCCACACUGGGACUGAGACACGGCCCAGACUCCUACGGGAGGCAGCAGUGGGGAAUUUUGGACAAUGGGCGAAAGCCUGAUCCAGCCAUGCCGCGUGCAGGAUGAAGGCCUUCGGUUGUAACUGCUUUGUACGGAACGAAAGGUUCUAUUAAUACUAGGUAG
rnacentral:rRNA from 1 species